AUAUUGGACAAUGGGCGAAAGCCUGAUCCAGCCAUGCCGCGUGUGUGAAGAAGGUCUUCGGAUUGUAAAGCACUUUAAGUUGGGAGGAAGGGCAGUAAGUUAAUACCUUGCUGUUUUGACGUUACCGACAGAAUAAGCACCGGCUCACUUCGUGCCAGCAGCCGCGGUAAUACGAAGGGUGCAAGCGUUAAUCGGAAUUACUGGGCGUAAAGCGCGCGUAGGUGGUUCAGCAAGUUGAAGGUGAAAUCCCCGGGCUCAACCUGGGAACUGCCUCCAAAACUACUGAGCUAGAGUACGGUAGAGGGUAGUGGAAUUUCCUGUGUAGCGGUGAAAUGCGUAGAUAUAGGAAGGAACACCAGUGGCGAAGGCGACUACCUGGACUGAUACUGACACUGAGGUGCGAAAGCGUGGGGAGCAAACAGG
rnacentral:rRNA from 1 species